UACGGAGGGGGCUAGCGUUGUUCGGAAUUACUGGGCGUAAAGCGUACGUAGGCGGCUUUGUAAGUUAGAGGUGAAAGCCCAGAGCUCAACUCUGGAAUUGCCUUUAAGACUGCAUCGCUUGAAUCAUGGAGAGGUUAGUGGAAUUCCGAGUGUAGAGGUGAAAUUCGUAGAUAUUCGGAAGAACACCAGUGGCGAAGGCGGCCUGCUGGGCAGUUGCUGACACUGAGGCGCGACAGCGUGGGGAGCAAACAGG
rnacentral:rRNA from 1 species